rnacentral:lncRNA from 1 species
GAUGUGUCUCAAUAUCUUUUAGGGGUCCAGUGGGCAAGCACAAUUCCUGGGGUCACAGUGCGAACUCCUGUGCUUGUCACUACAGAUGUCCUUGGGUUCCAGUUGGUUCCCAUCCUCCAGUUCCUGGAGCAAACCUCCCCACCCACUUGCCCUUCCUGCCUGUCUACACCAAGGCAGUGGGGGAGGGGCCCAGCUCCCAGGAGCCCUGUGCUGACGCCGUCCAGAAUAUUGGGUUUAAUGAGCUGCAAAAUGAGGAGGCUGCAGCUGACACGUACGGAUGGCGCUCGCACCCGCCUCCUUGCCCAGCAUGCGCCGUCUAGCACCCGCCGCAUCCUUCUCCAGACAUUUAGCUCGCGUUCCUCCAGGAUGCCUCCUCAUGG